CCUACGGGAGGCAGCAGUGAGGAAUAUUGGUCAAUGGACGAGAGUCUGAACCAGCCAAGUAGCGUGAAGGAUGACUGCCCUAUGGGUUGUAAACUUCUUUUAUAUGGGAAUAAAAUGUUCCACGUGUGGGAUUUUGUAUGUACCAUAUGAAUAAGGAUCGGCUAACUCCGUGCCAGCAGCCGCGGUAAUACGGAGGAUCCGAGCGUUAUCCGGAUUUAUUGGGUUUAAAGGGAGCGUAGGUGGAUUUUUAAGGCAGUUGUGAAAGUUUGCGGCUCAAACGUAAAAUUGCAGUUGAAACUGGCAGUCUUGAGUACAGUAGAGGUGGGCGGAAUUCGUGGUGUAGCGGUGAAAUGCUUAGAUAUCACGAAGAACUCCGAUUGCGAAGGCAGUUCACUGGACUGCAACUGACACUGAGGCUCGAAAGUGUGGGUAUCAAACAGGAUUAGAUACCCGGGUAGUC
rnacentral:rRNA from 1 species